AGAAUGGGAGAUUUCGGCUAGAUGACUUCAUAUCUCUUUGUAUAUUUUUACAGUCUGCUCGGAAUUUAUUCAGUUCAUCUGAUACAGCAAAGCAAGGCAGGGUGACUCUUGAUCUCAA